UACCUGAAUCCUGACUCUUUUCAGCAAU
rnacentral:piRNA from 1 species